UAUCAAUAGCCGAAGGAACGUUAAAAGA
rnacentral:sRNA from 1 species